rnacentral:rRNA from 1 species
AACGAACGCUGGCGGCAGGCCUAACACAUGCAAGUCGAACGAACCCUUCGGGGUGAGUGGCGCACGGGUGCGUAACGCGUGGGAAUAUGCCCAUAGGUAGGGAAUAACGUCUGGAAACGGCCGCUAAUACCUUAUAAUGUCUUUGGACCAAAGAUUUAUCGCCUAUGGAUUAGCCCGCGUCUGAUUAGCUAGUUGGUGAGGUAAUGGCUCACCAAGGCGAUGAUCAGUAGCUGGUCUGAGAGGAUGAUCAGCCACACUGGGACUGAGACACGGCCCAG